UGUAACCAUCAUCUAUAGAAACCUGUGGGGAGGGAAAGCACAAAAGAAGUUAGUGUUGGUUUAUGAUGGCAGUAAUAGUAAUGUGAUUCAUAUUUAUAAUAAUACUAAUGAUAACAAUAAUAGCAGGAGCAGUUGUCAGCAGGGCCACGGCAGGAGGAAGGAACAGGGACAGAGCGAUGAUCCAUGGAGACCAGGCGAGAAAGCACAAAUACGGGGAUUAUCUGAUUAUGUCCUCUCUACGAGACAACUAUUGAUCAGUUUCAUUUCAAUCAUCUUCAUAUCUUUUACUUUGACUCUUAAAGAAACCUUGCAAUGUUAAGACAAUGUAAUACAUUAAAGAAAAAUGUUUAUUAUUAACGAGCUUUGUGAAUAUGAACUUGAUUUCCAACUCCUUUUGUUCGAACUGUUUUUUUUGUUGUGUCUUAGCUCUUUGUUAUUCUAUUUAAAAAAAAAAAAAAAAUUGUAUUUCUUUGUGUGUACAAAUAGUAAAAAAAAUGUUCCCCUUUAUAUAUGUUCAAAAAAAAUGUAUACAUAAUUUGACCGUGAUGUGUUUCAUAAAAAUCCUUCUCCUCACUCACAAAGCCCUCCAUAAUCAGGCCUCCUCCUACCUCCCCGACCUGCUCCACCAUCACCUUCCCUCCCGUCGGCUCCACUCCUCUGACGCCAACCUCCUAUCCAGCCCCCACAGGACCAAGCACCGGACAUGGUGACAGCGCCUUCUCCAUAGCUGCCCCCUCCCUCCCGAACGCUCUCCCCAAACUCACCCGAGACUGGACUGACCUCUCCACAAAUCAAAACCCACCUCUCCAGAACUGCUUUAAUUAUGGCGUCUUCCUUUAAGAUCCCGAAGAAGAAACACCCAACGGCUUCUGAAUCCGCCCCCCUGUACACGUCACCGCUGUCCCGCCUGCAGAGCGCCACCCCCGAAUUAAAGAGCUAUGGGAACCAGUACAGCAGAGCUGACAGGAUGCAUGCUGGGAGCUCAGCAGGCUCCUCAGUGAACAGAGAGAGCGCUCCUCUCUUCAGGGAAGUGGUCAAAACGCUGCUCGGACUUACAGCCAAUCAAAGAGAAGCCUCGGCAGCCAAUCGCAAAGGAGGACGGAGUGCCAAGUUGUCUGCUGCUUCUCCCUCAGUCGGGUGGCGCCCUAAAAGGGCUUCAGACCGCCAGCUGCCUCCUGAUGUGACCUCACAGCCUCCGUCUCCACCA
ensembl:lncRNA